GUGCAGGGGCGGUUCGUGCGGAAGGAGCGCUGGGAGUUAUGUGAACCUCAGCGUUAAAAUGUGUUAGGGUUUGGAGAUCCUGACUCCCUUUCUGGGGGCAACUCCUAUAAACAGAUUUAGCCUAAGACUCGCGUGUUGAAAUUGACUUGCCCCAUUCCUGCCAGUUAAGAGGAUUAGCGAUACAGGUGGUGAAAAAGAAACGAUGACACCCCUAAGACCUGAGCCCCUUCUGGGCCCCACACUCCACCUGUAGAACUCUGAUGGGGCCUUGUGCGGCCGAACCACAAUCCAAGAGAGGUGUUCACAUCAUGUGUCGCUAGCCACAGCCAUCUCAAGGGGAAAUGCCCCAAAUGUAGAAGUAUCUGACACCAGGACUGGGGGUUGGAGCACUGGAUGAACAGCGUGUGUGCCACUCUUUCACUGUGCACCGUCCUAAGAAAGAAGCCUGUUUCCCUUUGAAGAGCCUAGUGCUGACUGCCCAAUUCAAUCGGACCACGCAGGGCAGUCUGAGGAUUAAAAGAUGCUACCUUUAAUUCCUUCGGCUAAUUCAGAAGUAUGUGAAACACAACAUACUCAUUAACAUGGAAGAACUGGAUGUGUGUGCAUGUGGGUGUGUAUUAUUUAUUUUUCAGAGACAAGGUUUCACCAUGUUGCCCAGGCUGGUCUUGAACUCCUGGGCUCAAGUGAUCCUCCCACCUCAGCUCCAGAGUAGCUGGGAACGAAGAAUUGUAUGUAUUUCUGAGUGAGAUAGAGUACACGAUAAAACCACAUAAUUUAUAUCAUUAUAAAUAACAUACAAAAUUUUGGAGGCUGAAAUAAUAUACAUGAGCAGUCAUAAAAUACAAUGAAAUCAUGUGCUUUGCAGCCACAUGGAUGGAGCUUGAGGUAAUUAUCCUAACCUCGGAAACAGAAAAUCAAAUAGCACAUGUUCUCACUUAUAAGUGGGAGCUAAAUAAUGGGUACCUAUGGACAUAAAGAUGGAAAUAGCAAACACUGGGCACUCCAAAAGGGGGUGAGUGGGAGGGGGGGCAAGGGUUGAAAUGCUACCUGAGUACAAUGUUCACUAUUUGGGUGAUAGGUAUGACAGAAGCCCAAUCCCCACCAGUACGCAAUAUACACAAACACGCACAUGUGGCUGGGCGCAGUGGCUCACGCCUGUAAUCCCAGCACUUGGGAGGCUGAGGCAGGUAGAUCACUUGAGGUGAGGAGUUUGAGACCAGCCUGGCCAACAUGGUGAAACUCCCGUCUCUACUAAAAAUACAAAAAUUAGCCAGGUGUGGUGGCAUGUGCCUGUAAUCCCAGCUAUCUGGGGGGCUGAGGCGGGAGGAUCACUUGAACCUGGGAGACAGAGUUGCAGUAAGCCAAGAUCACACCACUGGGCGACAGAGUGAGACUCCAUCUCAAAAAACAAAACAGAACAAAACAAAACAAAACAAAACUAACAUGCUCAUGUACCUGCUGAAUCUAAAAUAAAAUAAUAUACACUAAAAUGUUAAAAUUGAUUUUAGUAGAAUAAAAGGUGACUGAAUAUUUUAAAAAGUUAUGCCUAGAUGAAUACUUUAUGAUUUUACAUUGCAGCAUUUUUUGAACAUGGCAGCAGCUACUAUGAAUUGUCUAUCCAACUGCCACUCCAGCUUCCUCCCUACUAACAAAACCCCAGCUCAAGGGCAAGUGUGCUCAGUGCCAGGGGAUACACUAGUCGACCCAUCCCCCUUUGCCAGGGCCUGGUCCAAGAGUGGGCACGUGGCCCCACUCUAUAAAGAGACAGGGGGGAGGUUGCUGGAGCUGCUGACGGUUAUUCCCGGAUAAGGGCAGAAUGAGAAGGCUCCUGUACUACUGUCCACUCUGGCUGUGGACACCAUCAUUUGCAGAAUGAUGCUUGGCGCAGGAGCAGCCAUUCUGCAAUACUGAGGAUGGCAAAGCAGACGGUUCCAAGGAAAUCCUGAUGACAUUUUGGCUUCCACCCAACUCUAGAACCAUCUAUUUACAGACUUUUUGCUAUGUGAGAUAAACAUUCCCAUUGCUUAAGCCACCGUCAGGCUAAUUUUCUGUUACUUGUGCUGAUCACAUCCUGUUAUAGGCAGUUAUCUGUCUGGCACCGAAUAAAUGCCUCAUGUUCACUCUAAUUUAAAAGCAACCCUAUUAAGCUACUACUGUCUCACUCUUACAUAAAAUAAAAUAAAUAAAAUCAAGCUUAAAGAGGAUAAGUGAUUUUUUCCAACCAAAGUUACUGGUGGAGUCAGAUUCAAACCCAACCGUGACUCGACAGCCUGGACUCUGCCACUUAAACAUGUAGUUAGAAAAGUGUGCAAGCCUAUUGUUCCUUCUUUCUGUAUUUAACAGAAAGCAUAUACACAGAUGCAGGGAGCAACAAAUUUGCAUCCACUUGCACUCAUGUAUAAAUUUGGCUUUGGGCUCUUCUCCUCUGUCAUCUGUCCAUAUUCCUUGGUAGAAAUGCAUGCCUCAGGGGCCUGACCAAGAAGGUGGACUCUCCUCUCUUUUCCCACACUUAUUAAUAAGACCUAAUUUGUGCAUCAGGGAUCUGAGACAGGUUGUGAGGACUUUGAUACGGAGUCAUAAGGUUCAAGCCAAGACAUCUGAAUGGGCGAAAUGAACGUGAAAGCAGUACAUGUUCUUCCUCAAACUUUCUUGGAAGGGUCAGAAAACAGAAGAUUGAAAAAUACCCAAUAUCUAACAUCGGGCCAUUGAGUUCGUCCAAAAAAAGCAGAAGAGUAUUUCUGAACCAAAGAAACAGAAUAGAAAGAGAGGAUGAGAAUGGAGACCUGCUGGCCGUGCAUCAGCUAUUUAAAGGAAGAAAGGGCUGGAGCCCAGAGUUAACCAAAGCUUAGCCUUAGACCAAACAGGGCUUCCCAGCACAGGUUUCCAAGGAACCCUUUCUGCUCCAGUCCUCUACAGUGAGAAGAGCCCAGAAUAACACUGUCCAAUGGAGCUGACAUGAGCUUCAGCACCAGAAAGGGUGAUAUGGUCACCAAAUAUUCAGUCAGCCUCACAGCUGCUGGCUGGGCAGGUUGAGGGCUUUGUAGGAGAAGCCCAGCCUUGACAAAUGAGUAACAGGCUUGAGGAACUUUGAAAAGAAGGAAGGUGAGCCUGAAGGAAGAUGUACCCAAAAUCUAAGGGGCCACUAGGAAUCAGGGAUGGGGGUGGAGGGGAAGCGGUUCUUCCUGAGCCCCUAUGGUUCAUACUGUCCCAGAGGCCAGGUGC
rnacentral:lncRNA from 10 species